rnacentral:rRNA from 1 species
UACAGAGGUCUCAAGCGUUGUUCGGAUUCAUUGGGCGUAAAGCGCGCGUAGGCGGCCCUGUAAGUCCGCUGUGAAAGUCAAAGGCUCAACCUUUGAAAGCCGGUGGAUACUGCAGGGCUAGAGUCCGGAAGAGGCGAGUGGAAUUCCUGGUGUAGCGGUGGAAUGCGCAGAUAUCAGGAGGAACACCAAUAGCGAAGGCAGCUCGCUGGGACGGUACUGACGCUAAGGCGCGAAAGCGUGGGGAGCGAACAGG